UUAAGAAUCUUGCGCAAUGGGCGAAAGCCUGACGCAGCGACGCCGCGUGAACGAUGAAGGCCUUCGGGUUGUAAAGUUCAACAAACAGGGAAGAAUAAGUUCAGUAUAAUACACUGAGCGAUGACGGUACCUGUCUGAAGCCUCGGCUAACUACGUGCCAGCAGCCGCGGUAACACGUAUGAGGCGAGCGUUGUUCGGAAUUAUUGGGCGUAAAGGGCGUGUAGGCGGGGGAUUAAGUUAGGUGUGAAAUCCAUGGGCUCAACCCAUGAAUUGCAUCUAAUACUGGUUCUCUUGAGUUCGGGAGAGGAGAGCGGAAUUCCCGGUGUAGCGGUGAAAUGCGUAGAUAUCGGGAAGAACACCAGUGGCGAAGGCGGCUCUCUGGCCUAGAACUGACGCUGAUACGCGAAAGCGUGGGGAGCGAACGGGAUUAGAUACCCCGGUAGUCCACGCCGUAAACGUUGUAUACUAGGUGUUAGCGGAUUUAUCCGUUAGUGCCGCAG
rnacentral:rRNA from 1 species